AGGCUUAUGAGGAUAAAUUAAUUAUCUUAGCGGAUUUCAGUGAGAUUGAAGUAACUUUUGAUCAAUGAUCUGAUUGUUACACACACUGAGGCUU